CCCUGGACAGGCGGUGGAAACUACCAAGCUGGAGUACGGUAGGGGCAGAGGGAAUUUCCGGUGGAGCGGUGAAAUGCAUUGAGAUCGGAAAGAACACCAACGGCGAAAGCACUCCGCUGGGCCGACACUGACACUGAGAGACGAAAGCUAGGGGAGCAAAUGGGAUUAGAGACCCCAGUAGUCCUAGCCGUAAACGAUGGAUACUAGGUGCUGUGCGACUCGACCCGUGCAGUGCUGUAGCUAACGCGUUA
rnacentral:ncRNA from 1 species